UUCGAAAGGAACGCUAAUACCGCAUACGUCCUACGGGAGAAAGCAGGGGACCUUCGGGCCUUGCGCUAUCAGAUGAGCCUAGGUCGGAUUAGCUAGUAGGUGAGGUAAAGGCUCACCUAGGCGACGAUCCGUAACUGGUCUGAGAGGAUGAUCAGUCACACUGGAACUGAGACACCGGUCCAGACUCCUACGGGAGGCAGCAGUGGGGAAUAUUGGACAAUGGGCGAAAGCCUGCAUCCAGCCAUGCCGCGUGUGUGAAGAAGGUCUUCGGAUUGUAAAGCACUUUAAGUUGGGAGGAAGGGCAGUAAGUUAAUACCUUGUCUGUUUUGACGUUACCAACAGAAUAAGCACCGGCUAACUUCGUGCCAGCAGCCGCGGUAAUACGAAGGGUGCAAGCGUU
rnacentral:rRNA from 1 species